rnacentral:rRNA from 1 species
GAUGAACGCUGGCGGCGUGCCUAAUACAUGCAAGUCGAGCGAACAGACGAGGAGCUUGCUCCUCUGACGUUAGCGGCGGACGGGUGAGUAACACGUGGUUAACCUACCUAUAAGACUGGGAUAACUUCGGGAAACCGGAGCUAAUACCGGAUAAUAUAUUGAACCGCAUGGUUCAAUAGUGAAAGACGGUUUUGCUGUCACUUAUAGAUGGAUCCGCGCCGCAUUAGCUAGUUGGUAAGGUAACGGCUUACCAAGGCAACGAUGCGUAGCCGACCUGAGAGGGUGAUCGGCCACACUGGAACUGAGACACGGUCCAGACUCCUACGGGAGGCAGCAGUAGGGAAUCUUCCGCAAUGGGCGAAAGCCUGACGGGGCAACGCCGCGUGAGUGAUGAAGGUCUUCGGAUCGUAAAACUCUGUUAUUAGGGAAGAACAAAUGUGUAAGUAACUAUGCACGUCUUGACGGUACCUAAUCAGAAAGCCACGGCUAACUACGUG